ACUCUUGUGCUACCACAAAAAACAUUGAAGAGAAUGGAGAAGGCAACAUUCUUCAAGAUUUUCUUGGUCUCAAUUUUGCUUAUUUUGUUAGGACUAGGAAGCCAUGCGACAGGAUGCACUAGAGAUGCCGAUUGUGUUAAGGUUGUGAGAUGCAUAGACUCACAUCCCGAAUGUGACUUGAUAAAACAUCUAUGCGUCUGUCGAGCUCCACCAGCUAGUUAUGGAAUAAAAAGCAUUCACAAGACUGAGCAAAACUGAUUUAUGUUUGUUAUUCAUGUGCAAAUAAAUUGAACCAUCAUUUAUGUUUUUCCAUGUCAUAAGGUUCAAUAAAGGUUCCUUAUUUUCA